AUGACGUCCCCUGAUGGCGUCUUGGACAGCCCCUUUGGCUCGUAUGCGCAUGAUGUUUCGUAUAGCAGCGGCGCCGCCACCCAUGCGUUCAGGUUCUGGCACCUGGAUAGAAAAACGUUUCAGAAUCCGAGGAAAACUAGCCUGCUGCUUCUACUUACCCGACUUCUUCAGGUUGUAGGAACCAGUUACAUGUUCUCUGAACUUCUUGCUGAUAUUCCAUAUGGCUCCAAGUCCAACAUAUGGUUGCUAGGUUGCUGCAUCUAUGAGAUGACUUCGCUGAAUCAUGGAUUCAAAGCAUUUCUAGGUAGCUAUGUUGUCAUGCUCUUUAAGUUACAGUUCCUUCUUUCCCGCAAAAAUAAAAGAAAAAAUUACAGUUCCUUGUUGUAA
rnacentral:rRNA from 1 species